rnacentral:rRNA from 1 species
UUGCAGUUAAAAAGCUCGUAGUCGGAUUUCAGUAUUAGGCCCUUCUUCCAAUACGGUUGCUUGUGGUCUUUACUUCCUUAACAGAAUCUUUCAUCUCAUUAAUUUGGGGUGUUUGGGGCCUGUUUCUUUUACUUUGAGAAAAUUAGAGUGUUCAAAGCGGGUUUUCGCCUGGAUAUUACUCUUGGAAUAAUAAUAUAGGACUUUGGUUCUUUUUUGUUGGUGACUUAGAACCGAAGUAAUGAUUGAUAGGGACAGUUGGGGUCAUUCGUACUAUGAAGCGAGAGGUGAAAUUCUUGGACCUUUGUAUGACGAACUACUGCGAAAGCAUUUGACUAGGAUGUUCCCGUUGAUCAAGAACGAAAGUUGGUGGAUCGAAGACGAUCAGAUACCGUCGUAGUCUCAACCAUAAACUAUGCCAGCUAGGGAUUGGAGGAAGAUCAUUUUACGUCUCCUUCAGCACCUUAUGAGAAAUCAAAGCAUUUGGGUUCCGGGGGGAGUAUGGUCGCAAGGCUGAAACUUAAAGGAAUUGACGGGAGGGCCCCACCAGGAGUGGAGCCUGCGGCUUAAU